rnacentral:rRNA from 1 species
UACGUAGGGGGCUAGCGUUGUCCGGAAUCAUUGGGCGUAAAGCGCGCGUAGGCGGCCAGAUAAGUCCGGUGUGAAAGCCACAGGCUCAACCUGUGAAUGCCGCUGGAAACUGUCUGGCUAGAGUCCGGGAGGGGCGAGUGGAAUUCCUGGUGUAGCGGUGGAAUGCGCAGAUAUCAGGAGGAACACCGAUGGCGAAGGCAGCUCGCUGGGACGGUACUGACGCUGAGGCGCGAAAGCGUGGGGAGCGAACAGG